rnacentral:rRNA from 1 species
GUCAUCAUGGCCCUUACGACCAGGGCUACACACGUGCUACAAUGGCGCAUACAAAGAGAAGCGACCUCGCGAGAGCAAGCGGACCUCAUAAAGUGCGUCGUAGUCCGGAUUGGAGUCUGCAACUCGACUCCAUGAAGUCGGAAUCGCUAGUAAUCGUGGAUCAGAAUGCCACGGUGAAUACGUUCCCGGGCCUUGUACACACCGCCCGUCACACCAUGGGAGUGGGUUGCAAAAGAAGUAGGUAGCUUAACCUUCGGGAGGGCGCUUACCACUUUGUGAUUCAUGACUGGGGUGAAGUCGUAACAAGGUAACCGUAGGGGAACCUGCGGUUGGAUCAC